rnacentral:sRNA from 1 species
GCAGGGUGCGGUGGCUCAUGCCUGUAAUCCUAGUAGCUCGGGAGGCUGAGGCAGGAGGAUUGCAAGUUCAAAGCCAGCCUCGGCAGUGGCAAGGCCCUAAACAACUCAUUGAGACCCUGUCUCUU